rnacentral:rRNA from 1 species
AACGAACGCUGGCGGCAUGCCUAACACAUGCAAGUCGAACGAGAUCUUCGGAUCUAGUGGCGCACGGGUGCGUAACGCGUGGGAAUUUGCCCUUUGCUUCGGAAUAACAGUGAGAAAUUACUGCUAAUACCGGAUGAUGUCUUCGGACCAAAGAUUUAUCGGCAAAGGAUGAGCCCGCGUAGGAUUAGGUAGUUGGUGGGGUAAUGGCCUACCAAGCCGACGAUCCUUAGCUGGUCUGAGAGGAUGAUCAGCCACACUGGGACUGAGACACGGCCCAGACUCCUACGGGAGGCAGCAGUGGGGAAUAUUGGACAAUGGGGGAAACCCUGAUCCAGCAAUGCCGCGUGAGUGAUGAAGGCCUUAGGGUUGUAAAGCUCUUUUACCAGGGAUGAUAAUGACAGUACCUGGAGAAUAAGCUCCGGCUAACUCCGUG